rnacentral:lncRNA from 1 species
UCCGCCCGUUGUGGCAACAUCUUCUCGCUCAGACAAGGGAAAGUCCUCACGAAUGGUGGAGUCGUUAGUGGCAGACUUGCUUAAGGGCGUGCCAUCUUCCAUGAUUGUUGAUGAGGUGGUCUUUGCUUCACUUCUAUUUCUAUUUUGUUCGUUAUAGUGAGCAUCUUUAAUAUUUGCAAUUUUCUUUGCAGGAUGCUAACAGGAUUGUGUGUUCUAUCCAAGACUUGUUCGCUUCCUGGGGGCAAGUCCAAACGUCUCGCCCUGCUCCAUCUGAUCGUCCUGCUGCUUCUUCAGAGGAAGAUUUGAAGUUCUUGAAGGAGUCGAUAUUUGAGUACGUAUCCUUCAUGGAUAUGGAUAUUGGAAGGGCUAGUGAUGCCAGACACAAAGAUGAACUUGAGCACUUGAGUGCGAAGUUGGAGCAAGCACUGACGCUUCCGUCGCUCAAUCUUUCUGCCGAUUUUAAAGCGACGUUGAACGGUAUCCACUCCGAGGUCCUUUCUAUGCUGGCCAAGAAUGCUGAACUAAAGGACAAGCGUACUCAACAUCUUCGAGCCGUAGCUGAGAAAGAGUCUUUGCGUAUGGAGAUUAACAAGGCUGAGGAUGAGUUGAAAGAAAUCUCUUCCGAAGUCAUGGUUGAAAACUCUUUGAUGGUUAACUUGGCUGCUUAGAUGAGGGAACUUCAAACUAAAAUGGACGACUGCAGGGCGAGAAUGACUGCUAAAAAGUGCAACGCCUCCCAGGGAAUUGAGCGAACUAAGUCCUUGGUCGAGCAGUACAAGAAGUUGGAAGUUGAUGAUUAUGUCGCGGCUGAAUUGAACAUCACUUCCUCUCGGCAAAACGAGGAUUGGGAAAAACUUAGGGAACGAAUUCGUUCAGUAUGGGGUAAACUGUAAUUAAGACAUUUCGUGUCUUUUUCUUUUGUAAUUCGAUUUUUUUCCUUUGUAACUUUGUUCAUCAUUAAUGAACAUUAACUUCUUG